ACGUUUGGGUAAUCGCUGCAACGCCAACGUUGUAGAGGAAAGUCCAUGCUCGCACGGCCUGAGAUGGCUGUAGUGUUCGUGCCUAGCCAAUUCAUAAGCUAGGGUAUUCUGGCUGUAAGGCUGGUUUAACGGCAGGGAAAAAACCUAAGUCCUUUCGGAUAUGGUUUGACUACCUUUAAAGUGCCACAGUGACGAAGUCCUUGAAGAAAUGAUAGGAGUGGAACGAGGUAAACCCCACGAGCGAGAAACCCAAAUAAUGGUAGGGGAUUUUUCCAAGGANAAUGACGACGGAAAGACAGUGUAACCUCGCCA
rnacentral:RNase_P_RNA from 2 species